UACAGAGGGUGCGAGCGUUAAUCGGAAUUACUGGGCAUAAAGCGUGCGUAGACGGUUAUUUAAGUCGGGUGUGAAAGCCCCGGGCUCAACCUGGGAAUUGCAUUCGAGACUGAAUAGCUAGGGUACGGUAGAGGGAAGUGGAAUUCCGGUGUAGCGGUGAAAUGCGUAGAUAUCGGAAGGAACAUCAGUGGCGAAAGCGACUUCCUGGACCAGUACCGACGUUCAGGCACGAA
rnacentral:rRNA from 1 species